rnacentral:rRNA from 1 species
AGCCAUUGGUUGAUAUCUUUGGUCUAACCUGCCCGGUGCAUAAUGUUUAACGGCCGCAGUACUUUGACUGUGCUAAGGUAGCAUAAUCAAUUGACUUUUAAAUGGAGUCGGGAAUGAAUGGUUGAACUGGGUUUAGCUGUCUUAAAAAUAAUUAUUUGAAUUUGCUUUUUAAGUGAAAAAGCUUAAAUGAGAAAAAAAGACGAGAAGACCCUUAGAAUUUUUAUUAAUUAAACUUUGGUUUUUAUUGGGGCGAUAAAGAAACAGAUUUAAACUUUCUUAAUAUACUAGCCGAUAAUGUUAAGUAUGGAUAAAUUACCUGAGGGAUAACAGCAUAAUUUUAAAGUUAAGUUUGUGACCUCGAUGUUGGACUAGGAAACUAGCAGGCUAGCCGUUUGUUAUGUGGGUUCUGUUCGAACUUUUA